AGUUUGAUCCUGGCUCAGAUUGAACGCUGGCGGCAUGCCUUACACAUGCAAGUCGAACGGCAGCGCGGGGGCAACCCUGGCGGCGAGUGGCGAACGGGUGAGUAAUACAUCGGAACGUGUCCUGUAGUGGGGGAUAGCCCGGCGAAAGCCGGAUUAAUACCGCAUACGCUCUACGGAGGAAAGGGGGGGAUCUUAGGACCUCUCGCUACAGGGGCGGCCGAUGGCAGAUUAGCUAGUUGGUGGGGUAAAGGCCUACCAAGGCGACGAUCUGUAGCUGGUCUGAGAGGACGACCAGCCACACUGGGACUGAGACGCGGCCCAGACUCCUACGGGAGGCAGCAGUGGGGAAUUUUGGACAAUGGGCGCAAGCCUGAUCCAGCCAUGCCGCGUGUGUGAAGAAGGCCUUCGGGUUGUAAAGCACUUUUGUCCGGAAAGAAAACGCCGUGGUUAAUACCCGUGGCGGAUGACGGUACCGGAAGAAUAAGCACCGGCUAACUACGUGCCAGCAGCCGCGGUAAUACGUAGGGUGCAAGCGUUAAUCGGAAUUACUGGGCGUAAAGCGUGCGCAGGCGGUCCGCUAAGACAGAUGUGAAAUCCCCGGGCUUAACCUGGGAACUGCAUUUGUGACUGGCGGGCUAGAGUAUGGCAGAGGGGGGUAGAAUUCCACGUGUAGCAGUGAAAUGCGUAGAGAUGUGGAGGAAUACCGAUGGCGAAGGCAGCCCCCUGGGCCAAUACUGACGCUCAUGCACGAAAGCGUGGGGAGCAAACAGGAUUAGAUACCCUGGUAGUCCACGCCCUAAACGAUGUCAACUAGUUGUUGGGGAUUCAUUUCCUUAGUAACGUAGCUAACGCGUGAAGUUGACCGCCUGGGGAGUACGGUCGCAAGAUUAAAACUCAAAGGAAUUGACGG
rnacentral:rRNA from 1 species